UACGUAGGGGCCUAGCGUUGUCCGGAUUUAUUGGGCGUAAAGAGCUCGUAGGCGGUUCGGCAAGUCGGAUGUGAAAUCUCCACGCUCAACGUGGAGGGGCCAUUCGAAACUGCCGUGACUCGAGUCCGGUAGGGGAGUGUGGAAUUCCCGGUGUAGCGGUGAAAUGCGCAGAUAUCGGGAGGAACACCAGUAGCGAAGGCGGCACUCUGGACCAGCACUGACACUGAGGCACGAAAGCGUGGGGAGCAAACAGG
rnacentral:rRNA from 1 species